rnacentral:rRNA from 1 species
CCUACGGGAGGCAGCAGUGAGGAAUAUUGGUCAAUGGUCGGGAGACUGAACCAGCCAAGCCGCGUGAGGGAGGAAGGUACAGAGUAUCGUAAACCUCUUUUGUCAGGGAACAAAGACUGGGACGCGUCCCCGGAUGAGUGUACCUGACGAAAAAGCAUCGGCUAACUCCGUUCCAGCAGCCGCGGUAAUACGGGGGAUGCGAGCGUUAUCCGGAUUUAUUGGGUUUAACGGGUGCUCAGGCGGUCUGUUAAGUCAGCGGUCAAAGCCCGGGGGUAAACCCCGGCCCGCCGUUGAAACUGGCAGUCUCGAGUUGGAGAGAAGUAUGCGGAAUGCGCGGUGUAGCGGUGAAAUGCAUAGAUAUCGCGCAGAACUCCGAGUGCGAAGGCAGCAUGCCGGCUCCACACUGACGCUGAGGCACGAAAGCGUGGGUAUCGAACAGGAUUAGAUACCCGAGUAGUC